rnacentral:rRNA from 1 species
UACGUAGGGGGCGAGCGUUGUCCGGAUUUAUUGGGCGUAAAGAGCUCGUAGGCGGUCUGUCGCGUCGGAUGUGAAAACCCAGGGCUCAACUCUGGGCCUGCACUCGAUACGGGCAGACUAGAGUACGGCAGGGGAGACUGGAAUUCCUGGUGUAGCGGUGAAAUGCGCAGAUAUCAGGAGGAACACCGGUGGCGAAGGCGGGUCUCUGGGCCGUAACUGACGCUGAGGAGCGAAAGCGUGGGGAGCAAACAGG